CUUGGAAGUGGCCCCACCACCAUCUUGUGACCUCUGGGAGCAGGGAUCCCCAGUAACAUUUGGCGACCACGAAGGGACCUCCAAAAGCGAUGGGAAAUGUUCCCCCCAAGGCAAAAAUGCUCCUAAGAUGUAUUCUGGAGAAGUGGGACCAAUUUAACCCUCAGACACUAAGAAAGAAAUGACUUAUAUUCUUCUGCAGUACCACCCGGCCACCAUAUCCUCUUCAAGGGGGAGAAACCUGGCCUCCUGAGGGGAGGAUAAAUUAUAACACCAUCUUACAGCUAGACCUCUUUUGUAAAAAAGAAGGCAAAUGGA